GAUGAACGCUGGCGGCGUGCCUAAUACAUGCAAGUCGAACGAGGUGCUUUUGUAGCAAUACGGAAGUAUCCUAGUGGCGAACGGGUGAGUAACGCGUUGGUGACCUGCCCCAAAGUGUGGGAUAACAGUUCGAAAGGAUUGCUAAUACCGCAUGUGGUCAUUGGGUUUAGAAACCGAUGACUAAAGCAGUAAUGCGCUUUGGGAGGGACCUGCGUCCCAUCAGCUAGUUGGUGAGGUAACGGCUCACCAAGGCGACGACGGGUAGGGGACCUGAGAGGGUGGCCCCCCACAAUGGAACGUAGAACAACGGUCCACUACACCUACGCAG
rnacentral:rRNA from 1 species